rnacentral:rRNA from 1 species
GACGAACGCUGGCGGCAGGCUUAACACAUGCAAGUCGAACGGAAAGACCCUGCUUUUUUGCUAUGGUCGAGUGCCAACCGCGUACGUAAGAGGUAAAUAACCUGAACUUGCCUUUUGGAUAUCUUCAGGAAACUGGGGCUAAUACCAAAUAAAGACUCCUUCAGCAUUGUGGGGGUUGGAAAGAUUCGGCGUAUGCGGAUGGACGAGCGGGUUGCGAUCUUGUUGGUGGGGUAGUGGCUAACUAAGGCUUUGACGGGUAGCGGGCCCGAGAGGGGGACUGGCCACAUGGGGACUGAGAUACGGCACAGACUCCUACGGGAGGCAGCAGUGGGGAAGAUUGCACAAUGCGGGGAAGUCUGAUGCAGGAACGCUGCGUGCGGGAUGACGGCCUUCGUGUAGUAAACCGCUUUCGCCUGUGACGAAGCGUGAGUGACGGUAAUUGGUAAAUAAGCACCGGCUAACUACGUG